UACGUAGGUGGCAAGCGUUGUCCGGAAUUAUUUGGGCGUAAAGCGCGCGCAGGCGGCUUCUUAAGUCUGAUGUGAAAUCUCGGGGCUCAACCCCGAGCGGCCAUUGGAAACUGGGAAGCUUGAGUACAGAAGAGGAGAGUGGAAUUCCACGUGUAGCGGUGAAAUGCGUAGAUAUGUGGAGGAACACCAGUGGCGAAGGCGACUCUCUGGUCUGUAACUGACGCUGAGGCGCGAAAGCGUGGGGAGCAAACAGG
rnacentral:rRNA from 1 species